rnacentral:rRNA from 1 species
GUAGGUGGCAAGCGUUGUCCGGAAUUAUUGGGCGUAAAGCGCGCGCAGGUGGGUUCUUUAAGUCUGAUGUGAAAGCCCCCGGGCUCAACCGGGGAGGGUCAUUGGAAACUGGGGAACUUGAGUGCAGGAGAGGAAAGUGGAAUUCCACGCGUAGCGGUGAAAUGCGUAGAUAUGUGGAGGAACACCAGUGGCGAAGGCGACUUUCUGGCCUGUAACUGACACUGAGGCGCGAAAGCGUGGGGAGCAAACAGGAUUAGAUACCCUGGUAGUCCACGCCGUAAACGAUGAGUGCUAAGUGUUGGGGGGUUUCCGCCCCUCAGUGCUGCAGCUAACGCAUUAAGCACUCCGCCUGGGGAGUACGGUCGCAAGACUG